UACGUAGGGUGCAAGCGUUGUCCGGAAUUAUUGGGCGUAAAGAGCUCGUAGGCGGUUUGUCGCGUCUGCUGUGAAAACCCGAGGCUCAACCUCGGGCCUGCAGUGGGUACGGGCAGACUAGAGUGCGGUAGGGGAGAUUGGAAUUCCUGGUGUAGCGGUGGAAUGCGCAGAUAUCAGGAGGAACACCGAUGGCGAAGGCAGUUCUCUGGGCCGUAACUGACGCUGAGGAGCGAAAGCGUGGGAGCGAACAGG
rnacentral:rRNA from 1 species